UGCUGUUAGUCCAGGUAACUCUACACAUCAUGACUCUGCUGUUAGUCCAGGUAACUCUACACAUCAUGACUCUGCUGUUAGUCCAGGUAACUCUACACAUCAUGACUCUGCUGUUAGUCCAGGACUCUACACAUCAUGACUCUGCUGUUAGUCCAGGUAACUCUACACAUCAUGACUCUGCUGUUAGUCCAGGUAACUCUACACAUCAUGACUCUGCUGUUAGUCCAGGUAACUACACAUCAUGACUCUGCUGUUAGUCCAGGUAACUCUACACAUCAUGACUCUGCUGUUAGUCCAGGUAACUCUACACAUCAUGACUCUGCUGUUAGUCCAGGUAACUCUACACAUCAUGACUCUGCUGUUAGUCCAGGUAACUCUACACAUCAUGACUCUGCUGUUAGUCCAGGUAACUCUACACAUCAUGACUCUGCUGUUAGUCCAAGUAACUCUACACAUCAUGACUCUGCUGUUAGUCCAGGUAACUCUACACAUCAUGACUCUGCUGUUAGUCCAGGUAACUCUACACAUCAUGACUCUGCUGUUAGUCCAGGUAACUCUACACAUCAUGACUCUGCUG